GAUGAACGCUAGCUAUAGGCUUAACACAUGCAAGUCGAGGGACCGGCGCACGGGAGAGUAACGCGUAUCCAACCUUCCCAUAACUAAGGGAUAACACAGCGAAAGUUGGACUCAUAAUUCAUGGUUAUGGAUGGGGAUGCGUCUGAUCAGCUUGUUGGCGGUGUAACGGCCCAACAAGGCAACGAUCAGUAGGGGGUCUGAGAGGAAGGUCCCCGACAUUGGAACUGGGACACGGUCCAAACUCGUACGGAAGGCAGCAGUGAGGAAUAUUGGUAAUUCGACGCAAGUCUGAACCAGCCAAGUAGCGUGCAGGAUGACGGCGUAUGGGUUGUAAACUGCUUUUAUAUGGGGAUAGGUACCAUAUGAAUAAGGACCGGCUAAUUCCGUGCCAGCAGCCGCGGUAAUUC
rnacentral:rRNA from 1 species